rnacentral:rRNA from 1 species
CGUACGCGAAUUGGCUUCGGCCAAAAGUAGAGUGGCGCACGGGUGCGUAACACGUAACUAACAUACCUCCUCGCUGGGGAUAACUUCGGGAAACCGAAGCUAAUACCGAAUGAUCUGUCGGAGUCUGCGGGCUCUGUCGGUAAAGCCGUAAGGCGCGAGGAGAUUGGGUUGCGGCCUAUUAGCUAGUUGGUGGGGUAAUGGCCUACCAAGGCUACGAUAGGUAGCUGGUCUGAGGGGAUGAUCAGCCACACUGGAACUGGAACACGGUCCAGACUCCCACGGGAGGCAGCAGUUGGGAAUAUUGGACAAUGGGCGAGAGCCUGAUCCAGCAAUCCCGCGUGAGUGAUGAAGGCCUUCGGGUCGUAAAGCUCUUUUAGUGGGGAAGAAGGGGUAACCUUGACGGUACCCACAGAAAAAGCACCGGCUAACUCUGUGCCAGCAGCCGCGGUAAUACAGAGGGUGCAAGCGUUGUUCGGAAUCAUUGGGCGUAAAGCGCGAGUAGGCGGUCUCUUAAGUCUGAUGCGAAAGCCCUGGGCUUAACCCAGGAAGUGCAUUGGAUACUGG